AUAUCGGCCAAAUCUCAACAAUUGAGAACGGAGGACCCAUUAUUUUGGGGUUAAUUCUGCCUUGCAGAAAGGAUGAGAUAUUCUCUUUCGCCAUCCUACCCGUCAGCUAACUUCGUCGGCUAAAGCGAAGG
rnacentral:sRNA from 1 species